GACGAAGGUGGCGACCGUUGUUCGGAAUCACUGGGCAUAAAGAGCACGUAGGCGGCCAGGUAUGUCGGGUGUGAAAUCCCUCGGCCCAACCGAGGAAUUGCGCCCGAAACUACCCUGCUUGAGGAUGGAAGGGGAGCGUGGAAUUCCUGGUGGAGCGGUGAAAUGCGUUGAUAUCAGGAGGAACACCGGCGGCGAAGGCGACGCUCUGGUCCAUUACUGACGCUGAGGUGCGAAAGCCAGGGGAGCAAACGGG
rnacentral:rRNA from 1 species